UCUGUGGUGAUGACACGCGCAGGGGUACGGACCUCAGCCAGUCAUGGGGGCUGAGUGCCGCCGA
ensembl:snoRNA